UACAGAGGUCUCAAGCGUUGUUCGGAUUCAUUGGGCGUAAAGGGUGCGUAGGUGGCGCCGUAAGUCGGGUGUGAAAUUUCGAGGCUUAACCUCGAAACUGCAUUCGAUACUGCGGUGCUUGAGGACUGGAGAGGAGACUGGAAUUCAUGGUGUAGCAGUGAAAUGCGUAGAGAUCAUGAGGAAGACCAGUGGCGAAGGCGGGUCUCUGGACAGUGACUGACGCUGAGAUGCGAAAGCGUGGGGAGCAAACAGG
rnacentral:rRNA from 1 species